rnacentral:lncRNA from 12 species
GUGAUAAAUGCGAUCAGAAACUUGUGUUGGGGAGGAUUCAGUGUCUGUUGAGAACCAUGUGAAUGUGCUACAAAGUGAGUAUCAGACAACACCUCCAGACACCUGGACUGUCAAAGACCACACGGCACAAACAUUCUCCUGGAGACGCUGAGAAAGCACAGAAGGAAUGUCUGUGGAGGAUGUACUCAAAAAACACCCAUACUUAAGAACACCUGCUGGAGGGGACCCUUCUACACUCUUUCCUAUCAUACAGCUGAUGGAUACUGACUGUAAAAUGUCAAUCAUAGGAGGAGGGUUCAGUGUGGUGACAGAAGAUGGAAUAGACGUGUGCCAGUGCACCAGCCUUGGUGAAGCCUUCAUAACAGCCUUCUGGAUGUAUUCUGCUUUCAACAUUGCAUAUCCACCACACCUGAGAAAAACACUGACUUUCCUUCAGAGGCACAUUCUCAACAUUAGAAGAUGGAGACAAGCACUGCCAGUAUGGUUGACUGGAAGUCUGUCAGUCCAGAUGUGAGGAAGACCUACAGAGUGAGUUUGAGCUCAGCAGGAUGCAUCUACAGAAACACCACUGGAUACUGUAGCCAUGGAAAGAAGGGGGUCUUCACAGCUUUCUAUUCAGACAAAGAGUUUGCUGGAUUCUGUUCUAUGGGCUGCUACUACAGAAUGAAUGAAUGAGUGGUUUAUCUAUCUAUCUAUCUAUCUAUCUAUCUAUCUAUCUAUCUAUAUAUUUUUUUACUUAAAUUGGCGACUGAAACUGAAAGCUAAAUAAAUGUUUUAGUGGAUAAAGCUCUGUGUGUAUGUCACUUAACAUAAGGUUACUAAACUCUUCUGACUAAUUUUUAAAUUUUAUAAUUUAGUGGUUUUGUCAACUAUAUAUUUUUCUCUAUCAGGCAAAACAUAUUUUUCGAGGGUAACACUUUACAAUAAGGUUUCAUUUGUUGACACUGAUGUAUAAACUAACAUUAACUAUGAGCAAUACAUUUGAUACAGUGUUUAUUAAACUUUGUUAGUUAAUAAAAAUACAGCUGUUCGAUGUUUGUUCUUGUUAGUUCACUUCACAGUGUAUUAGCUAAUGUUAACAAAUACAACUUUUGACUUUAACUUAAGAACAGCUAGUGCGACUAACCGUGUUAAGAGACGUUUGUAUCCUCGAAAAAUAAUUGUAAUUUGUUUUUGAUUAUUGAUAAAUCAAGACCUAAACUUGCGGUGGUGAUGACGUCAGUAACCCGCGGCAUACAGAAGAUUUAAAGGUACUUUCAAAAGUAAUUUAAAAUAAUAUUCUUAAUAUCAUUAACGCCGUUUUUACCUUGGAAGAAUUAAAUUUGGUUUUAUAGGAUUAUGUUGAAUUUAUGGAUCCUUUUAAUCUGCAACUAAGAGUAUAUGGCUCGCCAUCUUUAUUUAUUUAUUUAUUUUUUAACAGCCAUCUUUCGCAUUACCUUUUGGCACGCCCCCUACCUUUCGUUUCACCAAUGAGAAACCUUUUGUCAUGCCCCCCACCUUUCGGCAAGCCCCACCUUUUGGCACGCCAAUUGCUCCAGGCUGCAGUUACCCUACUUGAAAACAAGUGCAAAUGAUAAGCUUUCGAGGCGAUGCGCAGCCCGUCAACUUUCCUGAGCGUCUUUUAAGGCUGGCCUCAGCCAGUUGGUUGAGAUCGCUGGGGGGCCCCCCUCAGCCGUGGGCCCCUAAAAUCGUCACCACCUUUCUCCCCACUAGCGACAGCCCUGUACAUUAUCAAAAGCUUAUUUGUUAAAGAAUAAGGUUACACUUCAUUUUGAUAGUCCACUUUAGACAUUCUACUAACUAUAAGUAACUUUGUCAACUAAUUCUCAUUCAUUUGCAACUACAUGUCUUCUAACUCUCAGAGUAGACUGUUAGGUUUGGUUAGGGUCAGUAGAAUAAGUUGACAUAUACUUGCAAAGUUUCUCAUAGUCAGUAUGUUGUAUGUUAUGGACCUUAUAAAAAUAAAGUGUUAGAUGAUAUUAAGCAGACAAUCUACUUAUACUCUAAUGACUGCUAGUUGACAUGUAGUUGUUGCAGAGUUACUUACUAACAGUAGAAUGUCUAAAGUGGACAAUCAAAAUAAAAUGUUACCAAAAAUAAUGUAAUUAAACAUUUUUAUUUAACAGUUGUUUAGAAUUUUUAAUGAGUUAAAAAAUGCAUUUAUUAUAAUAUAAACUGAGUACAUAUCAGCCACUCGCCCUUUAACACAUUACUGUCACAGACACAGGCACAUGACCAAAAUUAAUAAAGGAAAGAAACUUUCUGGGCCGCAGAACAGAAAAAACAUUAAAAUGAAUACAGCAAUCUCCAAAUGAACGAACAGAGAUUCUUAAGCUUACCUUAUUCAUUCAUUCAUUCAUUCAUUCAUUCAUUCAUUUAUUGUGAAUCAUUCAACAUUUAACUUGUUAACAUUAAUCAUUUGCCCUAUUAUAAGGCAACAGUUCAUUUCUGAGCAUAUCUCGCUCAAAAAAAAAAAAAGAAAAAAAAAAAAGUCACGUAUGUUUGUGAAUGGGCAUUUGAUUUACAUUUGAGAGGAACUGAGAAGUUCCUCUCAACAAGGACACAAACUAGU